rnacentral:misc_RNA from 1 species
UUAACUUAUUUGUAUAUUACUCAGACAACAUAAAAAUCCAGAGUUUAGGGUCCUCUGGCAGGCGCGGACCAGCCUAAGCCAGUGGUCAUAAGACGGGCCUGCCAAAGCAACAAAGGUAAUGUAAACAAAGGGUGGGGGAGAUCUACCCCGAAGGGCAAUUUCUCUGUAAUGAUCCUUCCGCAGCGGAAAUAUAGCGGCAAUUUCUAGCAGCCUCCCGAUCAUAUCUUAACCCUGCUGGGCCACCUCCAUUUGACCUGUGAGCCUAUUGCUAGGCUGCUGGUAUUACAAAUGUAAAUCCCAGCACAGUGGAGGUGUUGCCUGCUAAUACAGACUUUCUAUUCUGGCGAACCUGGAAGAAAUGUUCACCUACGGAAA